rnacentral:misc_RNA from 1 species
GUUCGAGCGUCAUUUAAACCAAUCCAGCUUGCUGGGUCUUGGGCUCCGCCUUUGGGCGGGCCUUAAAAUCAGUGGCGGUGCUAUCUAGCUCUGAGCGUAGUAAUUCUUCUCGCUAUAGGGUUCUAGGUGGUUACUUGCCAGCCAACCUCUAAUCUUCAAUGGUUGACCUCGGAUCAGGUAGGGAUACCCGCUGAACUUAA